rnacentral:rRNA from 1 species
UACGUAGGGUGCAAGCGUUAAUCGGAAUUACUGGGCGUAAAGCGUGCGCAGGCGGUUUUGCAAGACAGAUGUGAAAUCCCCGGGCUCAACCUGGGAACUGCAUUUGUGACUGCAAGGCUGGAGUGCGGCAGAGGGGGAUGGAAUUCCGCGUGUAGCAGUGAAAUGCGUAGAUAUGCGGAGGAACACCGAUGGCGAAGGCAAUCCCCUGGGCCUGCACUGACGCUCAUGCACGAAAGCGUGGGGAGCAAACAGG